rnacentral:tRNA from 1 species
AUCUUCUGAGUAUGGUUUAGUACGUCCGCCUUCCAAGCAGAAAGAUUAAAGAAAAUUUAAAGAAGAUA